rnacentral:rRNA from 1 species
UACGAAGGGGGCUAGCGUUGUUCGGAAUUACUGGGCGUAAAGGGCGCGUAGGCGGUGUGUCAAGUCAGGCGUGAAAGCCCCGGGCUCAACCUGGGAACCGCGCUUGAAACUGUCUGGCUUGAGGCCGGGAGAGGGUAGCGGAAUUCCCAGUGUAGCGGUGAAAUGCGUAGAUAUUGGGAGGAACACCAGUGGCGAAGGCGGCUACCUGGACCGGUUCUGACGCUGAGGCGCGAAAGCGUGGGUAGCAAACAGG